AUGCAGGGCGGGGAGAGCGCGGCGGGCGCGGCCAUGGAGGCGGGGGCGAACCUGGGCGCGUCGGCGUGGGCGGGCAAGGAGAAGACCAUGGCCGUGGUGCAGGAGACGGUGGAGAAGGCCAAGGCGCACGACGACCCGGCGGCGCAGGCGUCGGCGGAGGCCAGGAAGGAGGAGCGGGUCCUCGAGGUGGAGGCCGCCAAGCAGGACGCCUACCGCCACAACGCGGCCGUCGCCAAGGACGGACGCGCCGCCGCCGUCGUCAAGGAUGAGAAGGAGGCGUCGGCGGCGGCCGUCUCCGCCUGA
rnacentral:rRNA from 1 species